UUUCCUCUCAACUCAUUCUCUUCACACACCUCUUCAACUCAAAAUCCUAGCUCAUGAUCCAGAAUAACAAAGCAAGUACAUGUCUCAAAGCUCGGACGUGAACCACCAUUCUAACCCAACCCGUUACCUAUUAGUUUCGGUCAAAACAAGGUCUUCGAUUGCAAAAAUAGAUUUAGGGUUCCGACUAGAGAGAUUUAGUAAGGAGCGAUACUGGAGUAAAUGCGCAUAAGUCGAAGACGUGAGAGGAAUCUGGAAAAGCUUAGGCUUCUUCCAAAGGAAAUGCAUAGAACCCCAAUUGGCCAAUUCUUCUUUCUCUAUCUAAUUCGUUCUGAUUUACCUUCAAAAUCUGAUUGGUUGAUAUGUCUGCUGGUGGUCAACUUGAAGCCAACAAGAAAGCUAUGAAGAUCCAGUGAUAUGGCUGAAGCAAUUGAUUUGACUGGAUAUGGAGGUGUUUUGAAGAUGCUUGUGAAGUGAAGAGUGCUAAAAAUCUGAUACUAUUGCUCCUUCAGAGAGUCUUCCUCUUGUUGAUGGUUGGGGAGGUUGCCAAAAUAACUUGCAAGUCAAAUUAUGCCUCUGGUAGCACUGGUUCUCCGCCAGAUAUUCCACCAGAGUAAUUACCUCAUAGCUUAUCGUGUCUAAU
rnacentral:lncRNA from 1 species